GAAGGCCCGAGUGUUAUCCGGAUUUAUUGGGGCGUAAAGAGUACGUAGGAGGCUUGGUGCGUCUCAUGUUAAAUAUCACUGCCUAACGGGUGAUGCCGCAUGGGAUACGGCCAGGCUAGAGGAUGCGAGAGGUCUGUGGAACGCACGGUGUAGGGGUGAUAUCCGUUGAUAUCGUGCGGAACACCAAAGGCGAAGGCAGCAGACUGGCGUAUUCCUGACUCUGAGGUACGAAAGCGUGGGUAGCGAACGGGAUUAGAUACCCCGGUAGUCCACGCCGUAAACUAUGUUCGCUAGCUGUUUCGAGUAUCGACCCUCGGAGUGGCGCAGCUAACGCGUUAAGCGAACCGCCUGGGAAGUACGGCCGCAAGGCUG
rnacentral:rRNA from 1 species